UUUUUUAAAAAAAACCAUCCGCUAUCCGCGUGUUUCCGAUCGCUUUGCCGGCGCCUUCGUGUUGUUUGUUUGACAGCGGGGACUGACCCAGUGGCUGCUCCCCAGCGCGGGGGCUCCGAGGUGUUGAGACUGACCGAUGGAGGGAGAUUAGGUUGGUGGAGCCUCUCUGGUUGGUGCGUGUGGGCCUCUGCCCCUGCCGCUAGCCUCUCUCUGCCUUGGGGUGCCUGGUCUGCUUUGAGGUCUAGAGAGUGGCGGGGAGUUCUUAUCUGGUUAAUGGGUAGGACUCUGAGCGCCGGUGGAAAGUGGGAUGAUCCCUGCGCAGGCUGACGUUGGGGGCGACGCUGUUCCGAGCAUCCUGGUGAGUGAGCGAGCCGGGUACAGUAGCCUCAGUCCUGGGGCAGCGGUGAGGAGGGGCGGACCCUCCCGGCCAGCACCUAGGAGACCGGCAGGGGUGUAUUCUGAAGCAUCUUUCUGUGUGUUUGUGUUUGUUUAUUGUGCUGGGGUAUUAAAAAGGAGGUGGCACCCUGAAGGAUAAUAAUGGAUCUGAUAAUCUCCAGGGCCAGGUUUUUCUUAAAAUACACAUGUGCUUAUUUUUACCUGUGAUUUUUUUUUUUUUAGGGUUAGGACAGUUUUGGAAAAUCAGGGACGCCUUUCUGGUUUGGAAGCUAGUGGGCAGUAAAGAGUGCAGGCAGCUCUAAUUGGAGGCCGGGGCGGUGCUCAGCUACACCCUUAGGAUAUUGGUUAGAAAACCUCAGAAACACAGAAGUCUGUGCACCUGGUGUUCAUUCCCAUGUAAUGACAGGGUUUUGUUUUGCACGAAUGGUCAUUUUAUUAUCUCCGAUACAGUUCUGUUGUUUGUCUUUGGGAAUUCUGAGUGACUUGGACUAAAAAAUGCAUCUUUGAACAGUGCCACUUGGACUGGAGAACUAGAUCCAGCCUUCCAUGAAUAAGCAAAGAACAGACCACCCGAAAUAUGGCUAACAGCAGUGGAAACUGGCGUGUGUUGAGAAUCACUUUUGAGGGCUCACAAUUUGCGCCCUUGUUUCUUCUCGAUGUGUGUCUGGUGAAGGAAGAGAUCACUGACAGUAAGGAAGUGUUUUGGCAGCAGAAUCCCAUGUCCCACUGUGGAGCUAUUUUGGCCGUUCGUUGGCGUGCCUCCAGGGAAAUCACCUAGAAGCCAGAGAAACAGCUUUGGAUUCUGAACCCCUCAAGAAGUCAUCUGGAUGGGAGAGCUCUGUGGGGGAUCAGGGCUUUCAGAAACUAAUGAAGUGACAUUGUCUAAAAAGAAUGUUUUAAUUAGACAGUAAAAUUUAUAUUUUGAGCUAAGGGGAGGGAGGGCCCUUCUCUUCCAUGUAGACGAGUACAUUGUGUCUGUGAGGGGUGGGUGAAGAUGAAGGAACAUGAUCAGCUUUCUCUCUGGGUAGUAAAAGGGCAGGCGAUGGCUGGAGUUUGAUAGUUUGUGGGGACAGAGUGCUUAGGGCCCAAGCAGACGCCAUUGAGUGACUUUGCUCUGAAGACUUUUUCUGUGUUAGAUCCAGCUUACCGUUAGUCCAGGUAUAAACACCCACCCCUCUCUCCCCACCCUGUGCGUGUUUGAUCGGUAGUUUCAGUCUUUUUGCAACUUAAUUUUCCAUGUUUUUCAAAACUACUGCCAUUAAAAACUGCCUCUUUCAGGA